rnacentral:sRNA from 1 species
GCUGGGUGUGGUGGCACAUGUCUGUAAUCCCAGUGGCUUGGGAGCUGAGGCAGGAGGAUCACAAGUUCAAAACUAGUCUCCACACUUAGAGAGGUCCAAAGAAACUCAGUGAGACCCUGUCUCUA